GAUUGCUUCAGGUCACUGGUGUUCAGACGCGAGGUCUUCGGAUCUAGGUAAAAGACUAGAAGAGGUAGAAGAGCGGAGAGAGGGGGAGAUGGAAAGGGUAAACGAGAGGCUGUUAGAAUUAGAAAAGAAGAGUGCAGAAGGAGGGGGAGAAAGGCAGGUACAGGGGAAUGCGGAAGUGGCGCAGGUAGCAAUAGAUAGAUUGAAAGAGAUGGAGUGGGCCAUAGAGAGGAAAGGAAGAGAAGAAAGAAGGGGAAAUAUAGUAGUGAGAGGAGCGAGACUUGAGAAGGGAAGAGAAAAGGAAGAGUUGAAAAAGAUUUUGCAGCUGAUAGGGGUAGAGGUCGAGGUAAAGGAUAUGUGGGAGGUUGGCGUGAAAAAGGGGGGAGAAAAGGGGAUAUGGAUAGCAAGACUAGGAAAUAGGGAGC